CCCUUAGAUGUUCUGGGCUGCACGCGCGCUACACUGAAGCGUUCAACGAGUAUUCACCUUGCCCGGGAGGGUUGGGUAAUCUUUUGAAAACGCUUCGUGAUGGGGAUAGAUUAUUGCAAUUAUUAAUCUUCAACGAGGAAUUCCUAGUAAGCGCGAGUCAUCAGCUCGUGCUGAUUACGUCCCUGCCCUUUGUACACACCGCCCGUCGCUACUACCGAUUGGGAAAAUUUUAGAGAGUCCUGGACUGAUGAUUGUUCGGCUUCACGGCCUUACUUUCGUCGGGAAAGAAUUCGAUAAUAGUUUUCUAGAGGAAGUAAAAGUCGUAACA
rnacentral:rRNA from 1 species